CCCCCCCAUGCCACACAGCUGUCAAAAAGAACCAGCAGGUUUCUCCACCCUAAUAUGGAAGUUUAUUCACGAGAGACAGAUCUGGCUGCUUGUGGUGAAAUUCCAGGAAGCUGGCCCGGGAUCCAGAGACAACAUGAGGCCCCGGUAAGGGUCAUGGUGGGAGACAGGCCUAGCCAUCAGGAUUCCGGCACAACGGCACAAUGAUCAGACAUCUAUCAAGGGGAGGCACGAAUGUGACUGAGCAGGAACAGCAUGCCUAGAGGGGCAGGUCCAUGGAAGAACUGAGCAGAAUGUGAGCAAGUGCUGGCUUCCCUUCCGAGUCGGCCUGCUCUGUGUACACUCUACGUUGCAUUCGGUGUUGGCAAUGCUCAUCAUCACUGGCCGUAAGAGGUGAUUCAGCCAUAACAUCAGUGCAACUGACCAGUUCAGUUUUAAUCCCUCCCGGCCCCUCAUUGCUUGC